AUGCUGACAGCUCCCGCUAUCUUGACGGAAAAUGAAGUACAGGCUGAUAGUAAAAAGAAAAAGAAAAAAACAUGUAAUGAAGUAAGGAAGCUGAUAAGAGAUGAGAGCGCCAGACAACCAGGAAUAAGGAAGUGCCGAUAUAAAAGACUCCAGCUGCUGACAGGCAGCGCAAGGGAGGACCCAGACCAAGACCAAGGAUCAGCUGUUCAUGGGUGGCGGUUAUCGCCAGCUUGUGGAUACCGUUUUGUUUUUCGUUGUGCAGUCAUGGAAUCCCAGUUCGUUGAUGAAGGGUUCGUACGGACAGACCAAAUAACUGACCUGUGGUCGUUCUUACAAACAAUUGAUUGGAGUGAAGGAUGGCUGGUUGCACUUGUGGUGUUCCACAUUCUCCUCACCACUGUUACUGUGAUGACCCGCAACCAUCACACCACUCAGGCUGUCCUCUUCUUCUUGCUGCUGCUCACAGUGCGUUCUUCUGAAACUAUCAACCAGUAUGCUGCAAAGAACUGGCAGUCCUUCAGUAGGCAGCAGUAUUUUGACUCCCAGGGACUGUUCAUAAGUGUAGUAUUCUCCAUGCCUGUCCUUUUCAACUGCAUGAUGAUGGUGAUGAACUGGUUGUGGUUGAGCAGCAGCAUGAUGGUGACAUGGAAGAAAGCUGAACUGGAGGCUAGGGCAGCAAGACAAGGCAGCUCAUACAGAGAAAAACCUAGUCAGUCAGUAAAAUCAUCAGCAGAAGCUAAGAAGAACAAGUGACUGCCUCUCAGGGCAAUUCAUGAUGCCUUAUGCUGGGUACAGAGGUCAAGGUGAAAGUGCAUAGUUCAACACAAAGGAAAAGAUCAUCAAGAUGGAAAGGUGUUUGAAGUGAGUAAUGGAUAUUCUUUGCUACAAUCACAUCUUUCUAAAAAGAAAAUGGGGUGGAUUAAUUAAUCAUCUCUGUUUUACUCAAGUUUGAAAAAAAAAAUUAAAGGAAUUUUUUUAUAUGAUUCAUAUAGAUUAAAUCAAGGAACAUUGGACAAGCAUAACAAUUUCUUAUUUAAUGUUUAUUCAAAGGAAAUACUCUCCUGUUUGAGAAGGCUACAUUAAAGUGCUGCCCAUACAUUUGUAGUUAAUAUCUUGAAUUAUGGAAAUUCUUUAAAUCACCAAGUUGCUGCAGUCACUGGAUCACAAAAUGCCAACGAUAUCUAGUCAUUUGUUAUUGUAUUCACUCACUACCAGAUUCACCUUUAAGAAUAAUGCACCAGGGUGUCAUUAUAUGUGUGGGUUAUAUGCUGUGAAGACUUCACUUAAGAAAGAUUCACAUAUGGAAACUAUCUUUACAUUAUCUACACAUUACCUCAGUUUUUGUUUACAUUAUAUAACCCUAUUUUUUAAUCCCCAUAAAUAUAAGUUUUCACCUCUUUCUCAAUAAAAAUGCACUAAAAUAGUAUGAGAACACAACAAUGUUAUAUCACAUUUAGAGUGUAUUCUUGUCAGAUCUCAUGAGACAUCUUACUUGGCUGGGGAUUUGUUAUAAGGUAGAAUUUGGGGUAAGAUUCCAUUUCAAACAUUUAUGAAAGCAGUAAACAUGGCUGAAACAACAGCAAUGUACCUAUGUCUGAGAUCAUUUUCAAAAAGGAGAGAUGUACAUAAGUAAUUAAGCAAUACUGCUUGGACAAAGGAGAGUUAUUCUUUGUGAUUGAUUUGUUUCAUAAUGCAUUAUUAAGGCACCCUGCAUGAAGUGACAUGAUAAUCCCCAAGUGGAAUAGUGAUCAAGCAUCAAGCUGAAAUCAUGAUUACAGUAAAUUGAUUAUGAAAAUUGGUUGACUGACAUGUAUUUAAAAUAUUACCACGAGAUUCAGUAAUAUUUAUAUGCUUUUAAUAUGAAUUAACAAUGUGUUUUGGCAUAGUUUUGCGGAUUAAAUAAAAGUUGAAAUAAUCUGGGAAAAUGGUAAAAUAUAAUAGCAAUAGGACAUUGCUCCUUAGCUAAGAGAGCAUCCAAAACUCACUCUAUUCCCUUUCCAUCUUGUUGUGUUAGCCUCUGUCUCCAUGAAGUACCAUGCCACUAUACAUGAUUGUCAAAGACGAAAAACACUAAUCCUUUUUCUCCACACUUUAAAUGUUGCCACAUUUAUAUUAGAUGUGUUUGAAGAGGAAUAAAACACUGAAUUGUAGUGGAUUUGCCUCCCUGUUAAUUACACAUUCAUUUGUGAUGGCAGCCAAACUAGAGUAGCAGACACACUGCUUUUUACACAUUUGCAAAGAGCUAAAGCAGUAAUAUCCAACUUCUUGAUUAUGCUUUAAUCACAUUGUUUAGAUGGUGGAUAGCAUUUUAUGCAGAUGGAUAAACAGUUGAGGACACUCUCAAGGUGGAAUACAUUAGACUGUGUAAGUGCUGUUUCAUUCAAAAGAAAUGUAACUUUGCUUCAAACUGGUUUGAUAUACACAUCUUUGUUGUGCACAUCACCCAGAUGUUGAGGGUUCAAGCUCUGUAUUCUGCAACAUUGAAUUUAAACAUGUUUAAUACAUUCCAUUCUUUGGUAUAAUGAUAGAAUUGUCACUAUACUUAUAUACAUUAAGCAAAUUUCUUCAUCAUUGUUAUCAUUAACUACUGUGAAUCCACUACAGGACAAAGGUACUUCCAAGUUAAUCCACUCAUCUCUUUUGACUUUGGAGCCCAUGCUAGGGAUUUGCAUGUCAUGGCUGGGGGUUGAGCAUUGCCAUGUCAUAGUAGUAUAGGACAUCAUGGCAAAGGAAACACAUUUAUCUAAUUGGACUCCUCUCUGUGGACAUCUCUAUAUUCACUGAUACCAAUUGUGGCUCAGUAAUUUUGCUUCUGAAAACACAAACAUUGGUAUACACCCCAUGAGAUGUCAAGUUUACCCCAAUGUGAGCAUUAGGGUUAGCAUUGGGUAGUACCACUAAAAUGUGUUGGAUGUAUGACUCAACUGCAUUGUUUUAAAAGAAGUCAGGAAAGAAUGUGUAGGUCAGUCACUGGGUGAGAGCAUUGGUAUGUUUAUGUGUCCUCAGAUAGCAAGAUUACUGUGCCAGUGUCAGUGAUGCCAGGUAUUCAUAGUAUGACUGGACCUGUCUUGUUUAGCUAAUUUAGUAAUCUGAAAAGUGCAUGAGCCAUCAAGUUUGUAUCACAAUCUUCCUCAAUUAAUUAUCUCAGUAGGUAGUUAAUUAGUGAAAGAUCAACUCCCGUGUAUUGUUGUGUAAUACUUUCUUGACAAUUUUUUUUUAUCAGGAAUAAAUUGUCAUUUUAUCAAUGACUUGACAUAAUUUGUCUUGUCAGUGUCUUCACCAUGUCAUUCAGUUAUUAAAUGGGAUUGUACUUUAUUCUAAUUAUAAUUAUAUAGUAAUUACUUGAAAUAUACAGUAUUUGUUAAAGUAGUAAAGUAUAAGCCUAUCUUUUGUGACUAGCAGGGCUACAUGGCCUUCAAUUUCCAGCCCUUUGCAUUCUUUCAAGAACCUAUUCAAGUUUGAAUGCAUGAGAAUAAGUGACAUCAUUCCAUAUAUAAGUGCAUCAGGCAGCUUUGAUCAUAACAAAGAAAAAUGAAUUUGAAAUAAGUAUUUUUCAUUACUUUUAAAUAUUUAUGGUUAUGUGAGGAAAGGAAGAUAAGGCUUUGAUAAGCAGGCAUGGAAUUCCACAGAUAGGAAAGCAGACUAAACACAGAGGAUAUUGUUGAAGUUAACUUUACUGAUAUAGAAGUUACUGAAACAUCUGAAGGUGUUCCAAUUUCUGUUUUGUGACUCAAUUAGGGAAUACUUCUGGUCUCCUACAUAAUUAUUGUCUUCAUUUAUAGGCAAUGUCAUUCACUAUUACCUAGUACAUCUUCAUUCCAAUAUUAACUUUAUAUAUUUCUAACAAUAUUUAUAAUAACAAGAUAAAUUUUUUGCUAUCACUUGGUUUGAGGCAGGUUCACAUGUAAUUUGGAUGGCUUACAGUAGCAUGCAUGUGUGCCUGAAGUGCAAUUUUGAAAAAGUGACUGGCAAAUAAAGCAACAAUACUAGACCAUGACAUCAGCAAUUAUGUGGUUGCAAGACAAACAGUGCUCACAUUAGCAGCAUGCAGUCCCACACAAACAAUCUUUUCUUGGAUUCAUUGUCUAUGUAGUGGACAUCUGGAGUGUGAAUAAGUGUGUUUCUUGUAGUUCAUCUGUUGUGUGUACCCUUCUCUGUGUAUCAGUUGCCAUGCCAGUGCCUAUAGUCAGAAUCACCAACUUUGCCCUAUUAAUUUUGUCACCAGUAGACACACAAACAUGGAAACUAUUUUGCAUCCUGCUACCAUUAGAGAGAGGCAAGAUUUUACCAUGAUGAAAGACAUAUGCUAGAGUAGGCUGGGAGGCAAUGGAAGAUGUUUUUGGGUGUACGAGUGUAGAGAAAACUAUUAACAGACGGAAAAAAAGAAAAA